rnacentral:rRNA from 1 species
UACAGAGGUCCCAAGCGUUGUUCGGAUUCACUGGGCGUAAAGGGUGCGUAGGUGGCCAGGUAAGUUUGGUGUGAAAGCUCGGAGCUUAACUCGGAAACUGCCAUUGAUACUAUCGAUCUUGAAUUAUCUGGAGGUAAGCGGAAUAUGUCAUGUAGCGGUGAAAUGCUUAGAUAUGACAUAGAACACCCAUUGCGAAGGCAGCUUACUACGGAUAUAUUGACACUGAGGCUCGAAAGCGUGGGGAUCAAACAGG